AAACGGGGUCUAAUACUGGAUAUUGACAUGAUCCCGCAUGGGGUGGUGUUGAAAGAUUUAUUGGUUUUGGAUGGACUCGCGGCCUAUCAGCUUGUUGGUGAGGUAAUGGCUCACCAAGGCGACGACAGGUAGCCGGCCUGAGAGGGUGACCGGCCACACUGGGACUGAGACACGGCCCAGACUCCUACGGGAGGCAGCAGUGGGGAAUAUUGCACAAUGGGCGAAAGCCUGAUGCAGCGACGCCGCGUGAGGGAUGACGGCCUUCGGGUUGUAAACCUCUUUCAGUAGGGAACAAGGCCAGUCGUUGAUUGGUUGAGGGUACUUGCAGAAGAAGCGCCGGCUAACUACGUGCCAGCAGCCGCGGUAAUACGUAGGGCGCAAGCGUUAUCCGGAAUUAUUGGGCGUAAAGAGCUCGUAGGCGGUUUGUCGCGUCUGCCGUGAAAGUCCGGGGCUCAACCCCGGAUCUGCGGUGGGUACGGGCAGACUAGAGUGAUGUAGGGGAGACUG
rnacentral:rRNA from 1 species